GGGCCCUUAGCUCAGUUGGUUAGAGCACCUGACUCAUAAUCAGGUGGUCCGCGGUUCGAGCCCGCGAGGGCCCA
rnacentral:tRNA from 1 species